AUUGAACGCUGGCGGCAGGCCUAACACAUGCAAGUCGAGCGGAUGACGGGAGCUUGCUCCUUGAUUCAGCGGCGGACGGGUGAGUAAUGCCUAGGAAUCUACCUGGUAGUGGGGGACGACGUUUCGAAAGGAACGCUAAUACCGCAUACGUCCUACGGGAGAAAGCAGGGGACCUUCGGGCCUUGCGCUAUCAGAUGAGCCUAGGUCGGAUUAGCUAGUUGGUGGGGUAAUGGCUCACCAAGGCGACGAUCCGUAACUGGUCUGAGAGGAUGAUCAGUCACACUGGAACUGACACGGUCCAGACUCCUACGGGAGGCAGCAGUGGGGAAUAUUGGACAAUGGGCGAAAGCCUGAUCCAGCCAUGCCGCGUGUGUGAAGAAGGUCUUCGGAUUGUAAAGCACUUUAAGUUGGGAGGGAGGGCAGUAAGCUAAUGCCUUGCUGUUUUGACGUUACCGACAGAAUAAGCACCGGCUAACUCUGUGCCAGCCGCCGCCGUAACAC
rnacentral:rRNA from 1 species